GACGAACGCUGGCGGCGCGCUUAACACAUGCAAGUCGAACGGAAAGGCCUGCUUUCCCUUGUGGAUUGCGGGUACUCGAGUGGCGAACGGGUGAGUAACACGUGAGUGAUCUGCCCCCAACUUGGGUAUAAGCCUGGGAAACUGGGCCUAAUUCCCGCUAGGACUGCAGGGUGGUGGCUGUAGUGGAAAACGAUUUUCUAGUGGUUGGGGAUGAGCUUGCUGCCUAUCAGCUGGUUGGUGGGGUAAUGGCCUACCAAGGCGUUGACGGGUAGCCGGCCUGGGAGGGUGGACGUGGACAUUGGGACUGGGCCACAGCCCUGAGUCAUACGGGAGGCAGCAGUGGGGAAUAAUGGACGAUGGGCGGACGCCGGAUGCAGCGGCGCGGGGUGGGGGAUGUCGGCCUUCGGGUUGUAAUCGCCUGUCGAGCGCGAGGAAGCGACCUGGUUGGAAGGGUGGUGACGGUAGUGGUAGAAGAAGCACCGGCUAACUACGUG
rnacentral:rRNA from 1 species